CACACACACACACACACACACACACACACACACACACACACACACACACACACACACACACACACACACACACACACACACACACACACACACACACACACACACACACACACACACACACACACACACACACACACACACACACACACACACACACACACACACACACACACACACACACACACACACACACACACACACACACACACACACACACACACACACACACACACACACACACACACACACACACACACACACACACACACACACACACACACACACACACACACACACACACACACACACACACACACACACACACACACACACACACACACACACACACACACACACACUCACGACACACACACACACACACACACACAUCACACACACACACACACACACACACACACACUCUCUCUCUGUCUCACACACUCACACAAUCAAUAGUUAAUAUAAUGUGAAAAUGGUUGUUAUUAUACACUGUUAACAUUAAUAAUGUUAAUAAUGGUGUAUCAGAGAGAGGGUCUGGGUGGUCUUCUGGGUAAGAAACGGUUGUCUGUGCCUUCAGUCAAGGGUGGAUGUUGUUGUUAUUAACUGGAGUUUUUGAAUCCUAUCCAUCAUCUGAUCAGAAAUCGGCUCUCGAGAGACAGUUAGAGGAGGAGCAGCGGCAUCUUCACGCUGAAGCUGUGCAUCAGAAGCUCCUGCAGGACGAGGAGACGCGGAUCAGAGCCGCACAGACAGAUGCUGCACAAGAUCCUGGAGAUCAGACGGAGUCAGAGACCGUGAAAGAGCUCACAGAUCUGCAGAAUGAGGCUGGCGCAGAAGAUCAGGACUCCGGCGAAGCUGCUGCAGGUGAGGAACAACCCUCUGAGACCCUGAACACAGACCAAUCACAGUCUCAGGACACGCAGAAGGAAAAUGAUGAAGCAGACGUCCCAUCUGAAGAGAACGAGCCUGGACCAGAGAAGACAAGAACGAGCCUGGACCAGAGAAGACAGGAGAAGACUCUGAUGAGAGACAGACAGAAACUGAGGACAAAGAAUCAGACAGACCAGAGACUGAAGACGCGUCAGACGCAGCCGAGAGACAGCAGGAGGAAGAGGAUGGAGCCUAAACACCAACAUGAUGUGUGCUUCACGUUCAUCUUUGCUACUACUCACUUAAAUCUCAUGCAUACUGAUAUUAAAUUAUAUUAA
rnacentral:lncRNA from 1 species